GUAACCGACCCCUCCUGGAGCUGGGGUUUUAUUUCUCUUUAUUUAAACAUGUUUAAGCACAAACAUGUGGAAUCGUGGAAUGAAGAGCGCGACUGGCAGGUUGAUCAAGAUCCUGACACCACAACCUGGGCUAAAACGAAACUGCACCAUAUGGCUAAAAACUUUGCCAACUGUGUCUGCUGGGCACCUGACCAAGAUGAGUUUUCGCUGUGGCGGUGGCAGAGACGUGUUUUUAAAUGUUUUUGUGGGUGAACGGUCCCACUAAGAUGAGGGAAGCACUAAGAUUAUUGAACGUUAUCGGAAGCCGUGACAGCACCACAUUCUGUCGAAAUAGAUCUACUGAUUAACUGUUUUAUUUGUUGUUGUUAUUGUUUAGGGCGAAUUGCUGAAU